rnacentral:rRNA from 1 species
AUGAUUUAUUUAAUGGCCGCGGUAUUUUAACCGUGCAAAGGUAGCAUAAUCAUUAGUCUAUUAAAUGUGGACUUGUAUGAAUGGUUGGACGAAAUAUUUACUGUCUCAUUUUGUUUAUUAUAAUUUAAUUUUUGUGUUAAAAAGCUCAAAUUUUUUUAGAGGACGAGAAGACCCUAUAGAUCUUUAUUUUUUAUAUUAAAUGAAUUUUUAGGUUAUGUUUUUUAUUUGUUAUAUUAAUUAUUUUGUUGGGGUGACAUGGGGAAAUAAUUAACUCUUUAUAUAUAUUAAUUCAUUUAUUUAUGUUUAUUUGACCUUGUAUUAUUGUUAUUAGAUUUAGAUACCUUAGGGAUAACAGCGUAAUUUUUUUUGAGAGUUCUUAUCGACAAGAGAGAUUGCGACCUCGAUGUUGGAUUAAGAUUAUUGUCAGGUGAAGUGGCUUGAUGAUUAGGUCUGUUCGACCUUUAAAUUCUUACAUGAUCUGAGUU